AUUGAACGCUGGCGGCAUGCUUUACACAUGCGAGUCGAACGGUAACAGGCCUUCGGGUGCUGACGAGUGGCGAACGGGUGAGUAAUGCAUCGGAACGUGCCCAGAGGUGGGGGAUAACGCAGCGAAAGCUGUGCUAAUACCGCAUGUGAUCUGAGGAUGAAAGCGGGGGACCAGGCAGCAAUGUUUGGCCUCGCGCCUUUGGAGCGGCCGAUGUCAGAUUAGGUAGUUGGUGGGGUAAGGGCCUACCAAGCCGACGAUCUGUAGCUGGUCUGAGAGGACGACCAGCCACACUGGGACUGAGACACGGCCCAGACUCCUACGGGAGGCAGCAGUGGGGAAUUUUGGACAAUGGGCGCAAGCCUGAUCCAGCAAUGCCGCGUGCGGGAAGAAGGCCUUCGGGUUGUAAACCGCUUUUGUACGGAACGAAAAGGCUCUGGCUAAUACCUGGGGCUGAUGACGGUACCGUAAGAAUAAGCACCGGCUAACUACGUG
rnacentral:rRNA from 1 species